rnacentral:rRNA from 1 species
GACGAACGCUGGCGGCGUGCUUAACACAUGCAAGUCGAACGGAAAGGCCCUGCUUUUGUUGGGUGCUCGAGUGGCGAACGGGUGAGUAACACGUGAGUACCCUCCCCUUGCCUUUGGGAUAACUUCCGGAAACUGGGGCUAAUACCGGAUAGGAGCUCCUGCUGCGUGGUGGGGGUGGGAAAGUUUCGGCGGUUGGGGAUGGACUCGCGGCUUAUCAGCUUGUUGGUGGGGUAGUGGCUUACCAAGGCUUUGACGGGUAGCCGGCCUGAGAGGGUGACCGGCCACAUUGGGACUGAGGAGCGGGCCAGACUGCUACGGGAGGCAGGAGUGGGGAAUAUUGCAAAAUGGGCGGAAGCCGGAUGCAGGAACGCCGGGUGCGGGAUGACGGCCUUCGGGUUGUAAACCGCUUUCGCCUGUGACGAAGCGUGAGUGACGGUAAUGGGUAAAGAAGCACCGGCUAACUACGUG